GAAGUUAGACAUGCUGCUGGAUUCAGCCAACAGCACCAGCAGACAGAUGAAGCUGGAAAUGCACGGAGAUUCACCUGCACUGGUCUACAAGCUUCCACCUGUGCAGGUCAGCUUUUGCUCCUUCCUGCCUGUCCACGCCCAAUAUGCUCACCAGUGACAGGACGUAGGAAGUGUCAUGGUGGCCCAGAAGUCCUGAGAAUCAGCCCACAAAUCAGAGUAAGACCUUUCUUCUUGUCCUUGUCCUGUUUUCUUUGACGAACAAGAACAUGCUGACAACCAGGAAAAAUUACGAAAGUAAAACGUUACGUAAUGUUGU
rnacentral:lncRNA from 1 species